rnacentral:lncRNA from 1 species
GCUGACAGCUGAAGCAUGGCUGAAGUGUGGAAAAUAGAAAGAAUUCGAAAAGUGAAAUCAAUAUUCAGCCUAAGUUAACAAUAAUGUUUUUGAAACUGAAAACCUGAAAGAUGAAUGAACUUGACGUAAUGACGACCAUUGUUGAAGCUGGCCAGGAAUUCUAAGCUGUCAUAAAUCCUUCAGCUGUAGUGUGCCUAUACUCAAAUUGGAAUCAAAUAUUGUAUUAACACAGGAAUCUUACAAAUUUUAUAUUCUUGUCUUUUAGAUGCAUGUUUUGUAAAUGGUGAAUCUCAAAUGAAUCCAAGAACUUUGAGUCGUCAUUUCACUUUCUUUCCAAUUUUAAUAAUGGUGAUAUUGCAGACAUACCAUUUUGCAAGUACUUACCUGGGCAGCUGAGCUCUUCCUUUCUGUACUUUCAAUGGAUUCAUUUGAGUUAAAUCUCUCGCCAGACGCCUCUCGUUCCAGACCUUACCCACUAGUGGAAUAUGCCAAGAGAUGUUGAACUUAUACCAGGUUAACCCUUGCUACAAUUAGAAGAACGGUUACAGAAGAGUUUGCUUUCAAUCAAUAUCAAUAAAUUAUGUAGAUUUAGAUUAACUUACAAGUGCAUAUCUGGGCUCCCUUCUUUUCUGUGGCCCCGUUUCCCUAACUAACUAGUAACCAACGCCCGCCGGUUGUCACUUACCCGCUCUGAUAACCCGGAGGAUGAGGAGGGCUCAGGGCUCUGGUCGAACGGAGCAAUUGGAAAGCUCACGAUCUGAAGAAAACUUUUGGAGUCAUGAGUAUAUACCGGAAGUCUACUAUGACUAAUCCCUCCAUAGCAAAACUGGUUUCGCACACUUCUUUCUUCUUCCAUGUCCAGGUAAUUUCCCUGAGCACAGUUAAUGAAGGGCGAAUUUUCCCCUGUCUUGGUUAACUGUUUGUGCGAGUUUUAGACUUUUAGCCAACAUUUUGUCUCUCGGUGAAAAAAAAAAGUGACGAUGCAAAUGAUUGUGUCGUGUUUAAUUGUAUUGAUGUGUAGCCAGUUGUUUGUACGGUUAUAUACGAUAAUAAAUGUUUUCAUCACAAGCUACGUAGCCCGUAUUUAUUAAUCAACAUAUUUCGGAUAAUGAAAGUUUAAACUUUCCUCCUCCUCCCCCCCAACAUCCUUCUAGUUCCUUUCCCAAUCGCGGAGACAUACCUUUUAUUUGUUUGACAUUCCCCAUAUUACUUUAGUUUUCCUUCUUUACUUAUAAACGGUACUUGCAUAGACACAAAUGACAAUCGUAAAUGCUAAUACUGCAUGUAGCUUACGUAACACAACACGAAGGAAAAGUGAACAUUUAACUUCAUGAUGCAAAAAUAUCUUUCACUUGCAUAGGCUGCAACAUGCCACAUUGGGCAGCAUCAUUACUGCUAUGUAAACAAACCUAUAACCAAAAUGAAGUGAAUCAUUAGCAUUAAUGGAAAUACUGUAUAAAAACCCAAUUAAUUGUUAAUCUGAAUGCUUGAACUUAUUAACGCUUCAAUGCUGCCUGGAACCGCGUCCUCAAACACCGAACAACGGCGGAUUUGGCUUGUGCAGGUGCGAAUUAGGUAAUUGAAGCAUAUUCCUGCAUAAACACUUAAUACGAAUCGCUGUUAAAAUGAAAUAUUAUAAAUAUAUAGCGAACUAACUAGCUGAGUCUUAGUCAUUUUCGGAAUGUUUCGCAUUAAUAACGCUUCGACGUUGCCUGUUACCUCGUCCUCAAAAACCGAACAACUGCACCAGAUAUCUGGUGCAGAUAUCUGUUUUCCAGAAAAACAACUCUAUAACGAAAAAACCAUAUAGAACGGAGACUAGAUCCGGCUCUCAUACAGGAUGUAGCGUGUCCAAAUUUUUUUCAAUGCAUUCUACUAAUAUAAUCAACAGGUUUUUUUUUAUGGAACUGACGUCAACGAAAGUUGGGUUCACCAAUAUGGCGACUGAUGAAAAUGACCAUAAAAUGGAGCCCCCGUCGCAGUUGACGAUCCACAUCUACAGAAGCUCAGGUCCCAUCGACAACGCUAGAAGAUGAAGUUCCUCCCCAUUUUCGUCCUAGUUGCUGUCUGCUUCGCCGUUGUUGUGGACGCCAAGCCUAAACAAACAAUUCAAUCAUUACUGCCCGAGUAUUCCGAGAGAAAAGGGGGAGAAAAACCAGAAAAAACGGAGAAACCAAAGACCGAAAAACCAGA